ensembl:lncRNA novel transcript
UGAUAAUCUAAGGAAAUUCACCGAAAACCUCCAGUAGCCACCUGCUCUUUGCCCUGACAGUUCUCAAGGAAGUGGUCCUCCUGCUGCCCCAAGCCUGUCAGCCUCCAUGAAACCAAGCCUUCCACACUAUAAUACAGAAAAGUAAAGUCUUUGCUUUCCGGGCUACCUUGUAGCAAUUUGAGGCUCUGUCAUCAGUUUCUGCUACGUUUCAAAGAUCCAGGAGAAGCUUAGUGUUGUGUCAAGACGCCGAUGGACCCAUCACAGUUUAAUCCAACCUACAACCCAGGGUCUCCACAAAUGCUCACCGAAGAAAAUUCCCGGGACGAUUCAGGGGCCUCUCAAAUCUCCUCCGAGACGUUGAUAAAGAACCUUAGUAACUUGACUAUCAACGCUAGUAGCGAAUCUGUUUCCCCUCUAUUGGAAGCUUUACUCCGUCGAGAGUCUGUGGGGGCAGCAGUCCUCAGGGAAAUCGAAGAUGAGUGGCUUUACAGCAGGAGAGGAGUAAGAACACUGCUGUCUGUGCAGAGAGAAAAGAUGGCAAGAUUGAGAUACAUGUUACUGGGCGGAGUUCGUACGCAUGAAAGAAGACCAACAAACAAGGAGCCUAAGGGAGUUAAGAAGGAAUCAAGACCAUUCAAAUGUCCCUGCAGUUUCUGCGUGUCUAAUGGAUGGGAUCCUUCUGAGAAUGCUAGAAUAGAGAAUCAAGACACCAAGCCACUUCAGCCAUAAAUCUUAUUCUUGCACCUUUUUUUCUUGCUAGUAAUUUUAUAUAGCAGGUUGAGAAAGCUACUCUAUGCUAGUAUAGACUAUACACCAAUAAUUUUGAUAAUGAGUUCUAGGAUGUAUUUUUCUUGUAUCUUUUUCUUCCUACUAUGAUACUAGUAAUUCAUAAGGGAUCUGUGUAAUCUGAAUGUAUUUCAAUAACUUUAGCUCUACUGUUUGAUUUGACCCAAAGAAGCCAAGACGAUAUAAGUAUUCCCAUGUGUCUUAGAAGCCCAAAGUCAGUGAGAUGAAACCCAACAUCAAGAAAUUGAAGCAAAGUUACUUGUGGAUAAAGAAAGCAUUAGGUAGUUUGGCUAUAGCAUAAUUAGAUUUUCUGGCUUUCAAAAAUUUGGAUUGCAAUCACAGCAAACUUUGUUAUUUUUACAGUUUUCAGUACAAAAGUGUUUAUAUAGAAACAAUAAAGUUGACAUUUGAGUACCUUUAAAAAAAAAAAAAA